rnacentral:rRNA from 1 species
AUUGAACGCUGGCGGCAUGCUUUACACAUGCAAGUCGAACGGUAACAGGCCGCAAGGUGCUGACGAGUGGCGAACGGGUGAGUAAUGCAUCGGAACGUGCCCAGUCGUGGGGGAUAACGCAGCGAAAGCUGCGCUAAUACCGCAUACGAUCUGUGGAUGAAAGCGGGGGACCGAAAGGCCUCGCGCGAUUGGAGCGGCCGAUGUCAGAUUAGGUAGUUGGUGGGGUAAAGGCCCACCAAGCCAACGAUCUGUAGCUGGUCUGAGAGGACGACCGGCCACACUGGGACUGAGACACGGCCCAGACUCCUACGGGAGGCAGCAGUGGGGAAUUUUGGACAAUGGGCGCAAGCCUGAUCCAGCAAUGCCGCGUGCAGGAAGAAGGCCUUCGGGUUGUAAACUGCUUUUGUACGGAACGAAACGGUCCGGGUUAAUACCCUGGGCUAAUGACGGUACCGUAAGAAUAAGCACCGGCUAACUACGUGCCAGCAGCCGCAGUAAGAC